UUGAAGCAGACGGGAGAGACCGCGUUAAAUCGCGGCGCCGAAGGAAUAAGCCUCUUUCUAUACCGGUAGGAGGUGACGAUCUCAGGCAAAAGGACCGUUUGUGGACA
rfam:Dethiosulfatibacter aminovorans DSM 17477 genome assembly, contig: EJ55DRAFT_scaffold00041.41